GGCCUGGAGUUGGACACCCCUGCUGUAAUCCAAUGAAGUGUCAUUCGAUUGGAGUGCCUGCUGCUCCCAUAAUUGGAAAUUGCCUCAAAGCACUGAUGUGGACUGAUGCACAUAUCGACGGCAUGUAAUUGGCUCCCUGUGAGGCUGGACAAGACCGACGCUAUUACAACAGCCAUUUUUAACCAAACAAAAAGAAAAGAGGGAGCACAAGAGUCCAAAUAUAAGUAGCUCUGGAUGUCUGCUCGGCCGUAGGGCAAGACCUGGAGCAGCAGAGGCAAAGCAACUCAGGAGGUCGACGGCACAGGAGACAGCUGAGGAGAUGGGACCCCUCUGGAGGCUGGCGAUGAAGGAGGCACUUUGGCAGCUGGUGUUGGGGAAGCCUCUGGAGGCUUGAGAGGAGGCCGACAUAGGCGGCGCAUAAUACACCUUAGUCUACCUUUUACAUCAUCGUCCUAAAACUUGUGCCAUUCCUUCAUUAGUUAACGUUCCACUUCAAAUGAAACGCAACAUAGUGAUUGGUUGAUUGUGUACAGACAUGCCAACCAGGGAGCUAGUGGAAGCUACACAUCUGGGAAGGAUGCACAGACAUACAAACAGGACAGACAUCAGGAAAGGCAGAGAGGUGAAACAGACUGAGAGAAGAACCAUAAAACUCGUCUGUUGUCAUUACAAAGAAAUGCAACUCAAAGAAAAGCACAGCACAGUUUUCCGUGGCUCAUCUUACUUUGGUGUGGUUUGGGAGGCAGUGUGUAAUGUAAGAAGGCUGUGCAGCUGACAGUGACUCACACCUCCCAAUCUGAUUAAAUUAAUACUUUAAUGAUGUGAUCUUUUAACAACUUGCAGCACAGAAAUCUGAAAAUGUUACCCUCAUUCUCUUCUGUGUUUAUGUUCUAUAAAACCGUCCACUGGACCAGACUGGACCAUGUGGUCAUAUGUGUGAUGCUCCAGCUGUGGAUUUCUAAUUGUGCUUGUGAGAAAUAAAUACUGA